GGAUAACUCCGGGAAACCGGGGCUAAUACCGGAUGCUUGAUUGAACCGCAUGGUUCCAAUCAUAAAAGGUGGCUUUUAGCUACCACUUACAGAUGGACCCGCGGCGCAUUAGCUAGUUGGUGAGGUAACGGCUCACCAAGGCGACGAUGCGUAGCCGACCUGAGAGGGUGAUCGGCCACACUGGGACUGAGACACGGCCCAGACUCCUACGGGAGGCAGCAGUAGGGAAUCUUCCGCAAUGGACGAAAGUCUGACGGAGCAACGCCGCGUGAGUGAUGAAGGUUUUCGGAUCGUAAAACUCUGUUGUUAGGGAAGAACAAGUACCGUUCGAAUAGGGCGGCACCUUGACGGUACCUAACCAGAAAGCCACGGCUAACUACGUGCCAGCAGCCGCGGUAAUACGUAGGUGGCAAGCGUUGUCCGGAAUUAUUGGGCGUAAAGCGCGCGCAGGCGGUUUCUUAAGUCUGAUGUGAAAGCCCCCGGCUCAACCGGGGAGGGUCAUUGGAAACUGGGGAACUUGAGUGCAGAAGAGGAGAGUGGAAUUCCACGUGUAGCGGUGAAAUGCGUAGAGAUGUGGAGGAACACCAGUGGCGAAGGCGACUCUCUGGUCUGUAACUGACGCUGAGGCGCGAAAGCGUGGGGAGCGAACAGGAUUAGAUACCCUGGUAGUCCACGCCGUAAACGAUGAGUGCUAAGUGUUAGAGGGUUUCCGCCCUUUAGUGCUGCAGCAAACGCAUUAAGCACUCCGCCUGGGGAGUACGGUCGCAAGACUGAAACUCAAAGGAAUUGACGGGGGCCCGCACAAGCGGUGGAGCAUGUGGUUUAAUUCGAAGCAACGCGAAGAACCUUACCAGGUCUUGACAUCCUCUGACAACCCUAGAGAUAGGGCUUCCCCUUCGGGGGCAGAGUGACAGGUGGUGCAUGGUUGUCGUCAGCUCGUGUCGUGAGAUGUUGGGUUAAGUCCCGCAACGAGCGCAACCCUUGAUCUUAGUUGCCAGCAUUCAGUUGGGCACUCUAAGGUGACUGCCGGUGACAAACCGGAGGAAGGUGGGGAUGACGUCAAAUCAUCAUGCCCCUUAUGACCUGGGCUACACACGUGCUACAAUGGGCAGAACAAAGGGCAGCGAAGCCGCGAGGCUAAGCCAAUCCCACAAAUCUGUUCUCAGUUCG
rnacentral:rRNA from 1 species